AGCGACGCAUGCCUGGUUCGUAAGAACCGGGUAUGACGGAGCGGCGAACGGGUGAGUAACACGUGAGCAACCUGCCCCGAAGACCGGGAUAGCCCAGGGAAACCUGGAUUAAUACCGGAUACCCUCAGACACUCUCAUGGGCGACUGAGGAAAGGCUUUAGCGCUUCGGGAUGGGCUCGCGGCCUAUCAGCUUGUUGGUGGGGUAACGGCCUACCAAGGCAUCGACGGGUAGCUGGUCUGAGAGGACGAUCAGCCACACUGGGACUGAGACACGGCCCAGACUCCUACGGGAGGCAGCAGCAGGGAAUCUUGCGCAAUGGGCGAAAGCCUGACGCAGCAACGCCGCGUGGGGGAUGACGGCCUUCGGGUUGUAAACCCCUUUCAGGAGGGAAGAAAUUGACGGUACCUCCAGAAGAAGCCCCGGCC
rnacentral:rRNA from 1 species